rnacentral:rRNA from 1 species
GGCAAGACGGAAAGACCCCGUGAACCUUUACUAUAGCUUGACACUGAACAUUGAGCCUUGAUGUGUAGGAUAGGUGGGAGGCUUUGAAGUGUGGACGCCAGUCUGCAUGGAGCCGGCCUUGAAAUACCACCCUUUAAUGUUUGAUGUUCUAACGUGGACCCGUGAUCCGGGUUGCGGACAGUGUCUGGUGGGUAGUUUGACUGGGGCGGUCUCCUCCUAAAGAGUAACGGAGGAGCACGAAGGUUGGCUAAUCCUGGUCGGACAUCAGGAGGUUAGUGCAAUGGCAUAAGCCAGCUUGACUGCGAGCGUGACGGCGCGAGCAGGUGCGAAAGCAGGUCAUAGUGAUCCGGUGGUUCUGAAUGGAAGGGCCAUCGCUCAACGGAUAAAAGGUACUCCGGGGAUAACAGGCUGAUACCGCCCAAGAGUUCAUAUCGACGGCGGUGUUUGGCACCUCGAUGUCGGCUCAUCACAUCCUGGGGCUGAAGUAGGUCCCAAGGGUAUGGCUGUUCGCCAUUUAAAGUGGUACGCGAGCUGGGUUUAGAACGUCGUGAGACAGUUCGGUCCCUAUCUGCCGUGGGCGCUGGAGAACUGAGGGGGGCUGCUCCUAGUACGAGAGGACCGGAGUGGACGCAUCACUGGUGUUCGGGUUGUCAUGCCAAUGGCACUGCCCGGUAGCUAAAUGCGGAAGAGAUAAGUGCUGAAAGCAUCUAAGCACGAAACUUGCCCCGA